rnacentral:rRNA from 1 species
GACGAACGCUGGCGGCGUGCCUAAUACAUGCAAGUAGAACGCUUAAGGAGGAGCUUGCUCUUCUUGGAUGAGUUGCGAACGGGUGAGUAACGCGUAGGUAACCUGCCUGGUAGCUGGGGAUAACUAUUGGAAACGAUAGCUAAUACCGCAUAAUAGUAGAUGUUGCAUGACAUUUGCUUAAAAGGUGCAAUUGCAUCACUACCAGAUGGACCUGCGUUGUAUUAGCUAGUUGGUGAGGUAACGGCUCACCAAGGCAACGAUACAUAGCCGACCUGAGAGGGUGAUCGGCCACACUGGGACUGAGACACGGCCCAGACUCCUACGGGAGGCAGCAGUAGGGAAUCUUCGGCAAUGGACGGAAGUCUGACCGAGCAACGCCGCGUGAGUGAAGAAGGUUUUCGGAUCGUAAAGCUCUGUUGUAAGAGAAGAACGAGUGUGAGAGUGGAAAGUUCACACUGUGACGGUAUCUUACCAGAAAGGGACGGCUAACUACGUG